rnacentral:rRNA from 1 species
AUUGAACGCUGGCGGCAUGCUUUACACAUGCACGUCGAACGGCAGCAUGGGCUUCGGCAUGAUGGCGAGUGGCGAACGGGUGAGUAAUAUAUCGGAACGUACCCAAGAGUGGGGGAUAACGUAGCGAAAGUUACGCUAAUACCGCAUCCGAUCCAAGGAUGAAAGCAGGGGACCGCAAGGCCUUGUGCUCCUGGAGCGGCAGAUAUCUGAUUAGCUAGUUGGUAGGGUAAAGGCCUACCAAGGCAUCGAUCAGAAGCUGGUCUGAGAGGACAACCAGCCACACUGGAACUGAGACACGGUCCAGACUCCUACGGGAGGCAGCAGUGGGGAAUUUUGGACAAUGGGGGCAACCCUGAUCCAGCAAUGCCGCGUGAGUGAAGAAGGCCUUCGGGUUGUAAAGCUCUUUUGUCAGGGAAGAAACGGCUGUGGCUAAUAUCCAUGGCUAAUGACGGUACCUGAAGAAUAAGCACCGGCUAACUACGUGCCAGCCGCCGCCGUAAAAC